rnacentral:rRNA from 1 species
AUCAGUGGCCAUGCCACUUUGAAUGUGCCCUGUCUGAUCCAGGAAGCCAAGCAGGGUCAGGCCUGGUUAGUACUUGGAUGGGAGCGUGUAAGUGAAAGUUCUUCAUACAUUCUUGGUUUUUAUGGAUA